rnacentral:rRNA from 1 species
GUUGGUGGCUAAACGCGACGGUUACACCUCUUCCCAUUCCGAACAGAGCAGUUAAGUGUCGUAGUGCCGAUGGUACCCAGCACUUUCUUUUUAAAAAGUUCAGAAAAAAGAAUUUGAAAGGAAAGUGCUGGGAAGAGUAGGUAGCCGCCAACA